CAAGUCGAGGGGCAGCACGAAUAGCAAUAUUUGGUGGCGACCGGCAAACGGGUGCGGAACACGUACGCAACCUUCCCAUAACUGGUGAAUAGCCUUCCGAAAGGGAGAUUAAUACACCGUAACAUAAAGAGUAGGCAUCUAUUUUUUAUUAUAGCUUCGGCGGUUUUGGAUGGGCGUGCGCCUGAUUAGGUAGUUGGCGGGGUAACGGCCCACCAAGCCUUCGAUCAGUAACUGGUGUGAGAGCACGACCAGUCACACGGGCACUGAGACACGGGCCCGACUCCUACGGGAGGCAGCAGUAAGGAAUAUUGGUCAAUGGACGCAAGUCUGAACCAGCCAUGCCGCGUGAAGGAUGAAGGCCCUCUGGGUUGUAAACUUCUUUUAUCUGGGACGAAAAAAGGGGAUUCUUCCUCACUUGACGGUACCAGAGGAAUAAGCACCGGCUAACUCCGUGCCAGCAGCCGCGGUAAUACGGAGGGUGCAAGCGUUAUCCGGAUUUACUGGGUUUAAAGGGUGCGUAGGUGGGUAAGUAAGUCAGUGGUGAAAUCUUCGAGCUUAACUCGGAAACUGCCAUUGAUACUAUUUAUCUUGAAUACUUUGGAGGUAAGCGGAAUAUGUCAUGUAGCGGUGAAAUGCUUAGAUAUGACAUAGAACACCAAUUGCGAAGGCAGCUUACUACACAGUUAUUGACACUGAGGCACGAAAGCGUGGGGAUCAAACAGGAUUAGAUACCCUGGUAGUCCACGCCCUAAACGAUGGAUACUCGACAUUAGCGAUACACAGUUAGUGUCUGAGCGAAAGCAUUAAGUAUCCCACCUGGGAAGUACGAUCGCAAGAUUGAAACUCAAAGGAAUUGACGGGGGUCC
rnacentral:rRNA from 1 species